rnacentral:tRNA from 1 species
AGCUCCGAAGUGUUACACGACAGGCUGCAACCCUGAAAAAGCAGGCCAAUUACCUGCCGGGGCUU